GGUAGUCCACGCCGUAAACGAUGUCAACUAGCCGUUGGAAGCCUUGAGCUUUUUAGUGGCGCAGCUAACGCAUUAAGUUGACCGCCUGGGGAGUACGGCCGCAAGGUUAAAACUCAAAUGAAUUGACGGGGGCCCGCACAAGCGGUGGAGCAUGUGGUUUAAUUUGAAGCAACGCGAAGAACCUUACCAGGCCUUGACAUCCAAUGAACUUUCUAAAGAUAGAUUGGUGCCUUCGGGAACAUUGAGACAGGCGCUGCAUGGCUGUCGUCAGCUCGUUUCGUGAGAUGUUGGGUUAAGUCCCGUAACGAGCCCAACCCUUGUCCUUAGUUACCAGCACGUAAUGGUGGGCACUCUAAGGAGACUGCCGGUGACAAACCGGAGGAAGGUGGGGAUGACGUCAAGUCAUCAUGGCCCUUACGGCCUGGGCUACACACGUGCUACAAUGGUCGGUCCAAAGGGUUGCCAAGCCGCGAGGUGGAGCUAAUCCCAUAAAACCGAUCGUAGUCCGGAUCGCAGUCUGCAACUCGACUGCGUGAAGUCGGAAUCGCUAGUAAUCGCGAAUCAGAAUGUCGCGGUGAAUACGUUCCCGGGCCUUGUACACACCGCCCGUCACACCAUGGGAGUGGGUUCCACCAGAACGUAGCUAGUCU
rnacentral:rRNA from 1 species